rnacentral:lncRNA from 1 species
UCUCUGCAGACCACCUCCGCAGGUCUUCCUUGCUCCCUGCUUUUUACUUUUUGGCCCAUCUAGUGCCCCUAGGACCCCUCUAGUGUGUUCCCGACUACUCUUUGGGCCUUCCUUGUUUCCCAGAGCUGUCUCUUGGAGCUCGAGACCCCUUAGGACCCUGGGAGUCCCCUCAGAAUCCCUCCAGAGCCCUUCUUCAUGCCCUGGAGCCCUCUGUUGGCCCUCCAGCCCCUUUAGCAGCCCUCGGUUCUGCUCUGGCCCCCUCCUUCCACCUUUUUGUUCCCCGCUGCAGGCCUCUCUUGGCCCUCUGCACCCCUUAGCACCCCCCUUGUGCACUCGGGACUACUUUUUCAGCUUUCUUCUGUGCCCCAGAGCUGUCUUCUGGCCCUCCACACCCUGCAGAACCUCUCUUUUUUUUUUUUUUUUUUUUGAUGUGGCGCAGCAGUUGGAGUGCCUGAGGGAGAUGGAGGAAGAAAGGGUCAUUGUCAGAGUGGGAGACGGACCUGGAGUAACGAUGAGUCUCAAUGUGAGUAUGAUCAUUCUCCCUUUAUUCAAGCUUUUACAGAGUGUAUAUAUAGACAGGCAAUAAGAGCAUGUGAUAGUGAUAGCUAUAUGAUUGGCUCACAAUCUUUGUUCACGCGCCUAGAGCGGACAUAUGAUUGGUGCAGGCUUGCUGUUCAUGUGGAGAGGUCUGUUGACUUGUUUACCUCCUUGUAGCUUCCUUCUUUUGUGCUGUUCAAGGACAGCUCGCAUAGAUGUGGCAUCCUUCCUCCAUCGUGAAGACAGGAUUGCUCACUUCUAAGAGAUCAUGCCCCUUUUCAGUUAACCAUUCUUCCACAGGUCAUGCCCUAGGAAGGUGAGCUAGAGAGUUGUUGCUGGAAGCAGAGUGUUGUGGUCAGCAGUUUCCUGGUUAAUUUUUGCUUUGUGCUUAUAGGUGUGGAGCAACGUGGAGAGUGGGUCGCUUGCAUGCAGGAGGAGCACGGCAAGGUGAGUGUCGGUCUGAGAGCGGUAGCAGAGCCUAGCAUAGGGCUGUUGUCUCAUUGGUGCUGUCC